UACGUAGGGGGCAAGCGUUGUCCGGAAUUAUUGGGCGUAAAGGGUGCGUAGGCGGCGCGGUAAGUCGGGUGUGAAAUCUUGGAGCUUAACUCCGAAACUGCAUUCGAUACUGCCGUGCUUGAGGACUGGAGAGGAGACUGGAAUUUACGGUGUAGCGGUGAAAUGCGUAGAUAUCGUAAGGAAGACCAGUGGCGAAGGCGGGUCUCCUGGACAGUUCCUGACGCUGAGGCACGAAGGUCAGGGGAGCAAACGGG
rnacentral:rRNA from 1 species